AAAGCUUUAAGUUAAAAAAAACUAUUAAUCUUCAAAAUUAAAAAUAUAUAUUUAUAAGUUUUA
rnacentral:tRNA from 1 species